AGAUGAACAAAUGACAAAUAACUAAAAUAAACUCUGUAGAUCUUGAUAGUUAUGAAAUUUUGUAUUUGCUAACUUUUUCAUUUGAGUUCAUCUUGUCAUGUAAAACUGCGUCUUUAAUUGAAAAUUUUCAAAUUCGAUUUUUUCAAACGACCUUAGAUGGAAAAACUCCCUAAAUAAACUUUGUAGAUCUCAAAAAGUUAUGAAACUUUGUAGUUGACAACCUUUUGUUUUGGAAUCAUUUUGUCAUGCAAAAACUAAGUUUGAAUUUCUCAAUUUUGAAAUUCAAACUUUGUAAACAACCUCAGAUGGAGAAACUCUCUAAAUGAAAAUUGUAGAUCCCAAAAAGUUAUGAAACUUUGUAGUUGACAACGUUUUGAUUUGAAAUCAUUUAGAACCUUAAAUAGUCAAUUUACACAUGAUUUGGUAUAAUAUAUGAGAAACCGAAAUGCAAUAUUGACACAAGUGAUAGUGUGGUGCAGCGGUUAAGGAGUUAGACACACAAGAGAGAGGUCUCUUGGGUUAGAAUCCCACUGGCGGCAAUGUUGCGAAAAAUUUUGAAACUUGAGCAGCAGAUGGAGUUGAGUGGGCACAAGACCCCUGCGAAAAUUCCCUUUUUCCCAUUUUUUGAUUUUUUGAUUUUUUUUGAUUUUUUUUGAUUUUCUAUCUUUGCUGAGUGUCGGCACUCAGCAAAGCUUUUGUCGAGUGCCCGAUAAAUGACACUCGGCAAAGAUGACUUUGCCGAGAGUUUUUUUGCCGAGUGCCCUUUGCCGAGUGUGGCACUCGGCAAAGCCUUUGCCGAAUGCAAUAUGGGCUUUGUCGAGUGCCAGAGACACACGGCAAAUCUAGGAAGUCCGGUAGUGUUUGUCCAGUCCCCAGCUUAGCUGAGAAUCCAGCUAGUCCCCAACUUAGCUGAAAACUAUGAAGAAAUAUUACAGUCACGCAAGGUAAAGUGUACACACUUAGUCUCCAAGCAUGCUAGAAGAUAAAGAAUUAUCUUGUAGUAUGGUCAAUGGAAUUUAGUAAAAGCUUUCCAACGCCAUCUGCCAUAUACUUAUCAAGACCCCACACAGGUUGCCCAAGACCAGCACCCUAAUCCGAACAGCAUGGAGCAACUUGAUAACACACUGAUUAGAGAUAGCAAAAAUCCUACCACAAAGGAGUCCCUAGCUUAGCUGGCGAUGUUUGCACGAAGAAUCCAAGUGCUAAGGAGUCCCUAGUUAAGUUGGUGUCUCGAAUAAAAAUUAGGGUACUUAAAACAUGUGGAUCUCAAUAGGCAUCAAUACCAGCUGCAGCCAAUUAAGUGACGAUGACGAAACAUUUCGCCCAACCCUAAGGGAGCAGGCUCUGUCUCGCCCUACCCCAAGCAAGCAGGCCCCACCUCGCCUAACCCCAAGGGAGCGGGCUCCAUCUCGCCCGACCCCAAGGGACCGGGCCCUCACCUGACCCAGGAGACGCAGACCCUCUCUUUGUAACCCUAUGUGGGGAGUUUUCGCCUCACUCGACAACCAUGAGCGUAGAAGCCCUUGGACAAAAGUGGAUAACUCUUGGGUAAAAGGUAGGCGUGAGUCACGAGAUGUACGACCCCUCCAACCACUCCAGGCACUCAUCUCUAAUGCCUCUAACGCCAGGAAGGAGCACACGCUCUGGUAUGAUCCAAGGCAACAUCAGACGAUGUUAGGCAGUCGCACAUCGCUCAGGACCGCUACAAAUGGCACUGUGCUACCAACCCCUAUACUUAUUCUAAAUAAUAACCCACAGUGUAGGAAUUGUGGAACCAACCAUGGUAUGGCCUCCACCUAGGUAGUCGGUUGAGUGUACCAUGAACCCCAAAAGUGUGGAACACCACGCCCAUCCCACGAACGGCCUUGUGUGGCAACAGUGGCCAAUGAUAGAGUGCCAUGGCGCCUUUCCAAUCAUCAUCUACAUGGUAUACAGGGUCGGCAGGACCCACAUGGCACGGAUAAGAUGAGAUGACCCUCUAAAGCCCUUUUUUCUUUUUUUCUUUUUUAGCUUCUCGUACUUCUUCUUUAACCUAAAUGACCAAGUAUGUAACCUAUUCCUCCCCUUAGACUAUUAAAGGGGAGGUAGGGCACCCUUCUUAGGCAUCAAACCAUCGAGCCUACACAUGCAUAAGCUUACACACUCACACUCAUUAGAGACUUGGGGGGCCUCUCCCUCUCUUGCUCGUUUGUAAUUCCUACUACAAAUAAAACAUGCAGAGUAACAUGAUAGCUCUUGACUAGACAUAGGGACAUUCUGCCUGAACCAGUAUACAUUCUUGUGUCCUCUUUGCACACCAUCAUAGCCUAGACACACAUAUUACAAAUUUACUAGUCGGUAGUAGUUUCAAAACACCAAUAGUUCAUGAGGCCCCAGCGUAGCUGAUGAUGAAUUCCAAGCAAUGAGCAAUCUGACCAGGUGGUCAGCGAGCACUAAGCAAUGCAACCUAUUGGUAGACAGCAAAGUGAACGUCGAGGGAAAGUGAGCACCGAGCUAUCUAUCCAAUUGUUUAGCGAUGAAGUCCAACUAAGUCAGAGACGCUAAGCAUAUAACUUCACUGCUGAGAUCCUAAGUGUGCACACUUCAUCUAAGAUGAAGACUUCAAACAAUUUUUACUUGAGCUCCUUAUAUCCUUCUAACAAACCUUGAUUGAGCUUAGCUCCUAGAUGAAUAGCUCAGGUGAUCACUUAGAUGAUUGUCGAACAGCUCAAACAACAUGCUCAACUGCUCGGGUGCUCACUCUUGAUGGUCACAACUUGACAAGCUUGGACAUGCUUAAGAUGGUGUUGCUCAGUGGAUACAAGGUGCUCGGGGACUAGCUAUGGGGCACGUCAUAGGUCGUCAUGUCUCACAAGACAGCGUGAAAACCCUUGCCAAUCAAGGCAAAUUAACUCGGAUAUGCCAGAUUCGAUAAUAUCUACAACUUCCUAUCAUGUAAUCCGAUCUGUAUGGAAACUAUUGACCUAUAAUCCUACCCCCAUGUUCUAUAAGGUAGGUAGGGACCCCCUCAUUUUUUCACCUCAUAUAACACAAUCCAUAGAGACAUAGGACGUAGGGUAUUAUGUCAUGCUAAUGGCCUAAACCUACUACAUCAUGUUCUAUAUCAUGUCUAGUUCAUCUCUUGCACACCUCCAUCGACUCAUGUACUACUCAAAGGACCAAGGAUGCGCCUAGAGGGGGGGUGAAUAGGCGUUUCUGAAAAUUUACAACUUAAAAUGCGG
rnacentral:lncRNA from 1 species